rnacentral:lncRNA from 1 species
AAGGUAUGUGAGAAGGAACACCGCAGAUGGUGGGAGAAGGGGGCGCAGGCUCCUGCCUCCUCCUCUCGAAAGCUGUUGGGAUUCCACACCCUGGCCUCUGGAGCGUGGGAAGAUGGGGUUUUCAGAAGGAUAGAAAUGGUUAGGGGGAGACCUUUGGAAAUGAGGACUCCACAGCGUGCUGUAGGACCACCUGGAGGGACAGCACCCCCUUUUGGUUCCAGGCCCCAACUCUGCAGGUUGUGAUC